AAGCUGAGGAAAUGCAUUGGCUGCUGAGAGAAGUCCUUCUCCCCUCUGGGUGAGGAGCAAGGGAUAGGGGAUGAUGAAGGGCAACAACCCCUUUUCAACAGGAAAAGAUUACAGUCUUGGCUUACUGAAGGAGGUCAACCACAGCCCAAAGGUCUUUUAGAGGCUGGCUUUGGGAAGAGAUGAAGUCCUGAUUAGUCAUGGCCAGUGGCAACACCCACAAGCACUUUACAUCCUGUCCUGAAAAUGGCUUUAUCCACUUUGUAUUCCCUCCACACCACCAGGCUGCAGACCAAAGAAAAUUGCAAGAGCCUGUGCUGGAAAUUCCCUUAAUUUGGUGUUGUCCUAACACAUGAGGACUGCUGCAACACACAGAGAAUCUGUUCUUGGUAUGGUACCUGGUCUUUUAUAGUUCUGAAAUGCAUGGCUGGGAAUCACCAGUAUGAGCCCUCGUGUGAAGGAGUCCCUGCUCAAAAGACUGUCCCUUUCUUACUGGCCCACUUCAAGUACUGAGAAGCCAUAAAAAAGUCUCCCUGGAGCUUUCUCUUCUCCAGUCUGAACAACCCCAACUCUCAGCUUGUCUCCAGACCUCUGAGCAUCUUUGUGGCCUCCUUUGAACUCCCUCCAACAGGUCCACAUCUUUCCCGUGCUGAGGACCUCACAUCUGGACACAGUACUCCAGGCAAGUAAAUAUAAUUUCACACCUAUCAACCACCUUUGUUUCAAGAAUCACUGGGAGAGACAGGCCUGUUUUCCUGGAAAUGUCCAUGCACUACCGCUUUCUAUCACUUGAAAACCUUAAGUGCAAGAGCUGCCUUGAAAUGAUGCUGUACUGUUUCCUGCAUGCCAUGAGAUAAUUCUCCUCUGCCUGCUACUCUGCCUCUGGGGGGCCACCAUGGUGCUCAGUGACCUGCAGGACCACAGGAAAAGCUGGCUGAGCUAGCUCAGGACAAGGAUUUCCAACACCACCUCAUGCUGGGGGCCGGAUGUCUCCACUUCUGGGGAGUAAAGCAGCUCCCCAUCCUCUGCCUGCAGAACAGGAGUGCAGCUAUGGGAUCUGUGGGGAAAGACUUCCUGCUGAAUGUUUUGACAUGUCCUACACAUGCUGCCUUAUGAAUCCCUUGCAGUCCUCCAAUGGAAGAUGGAAGGAUGGUUUAUUCCCCAUUUGACUGAAAAACAAAUCAGAGAAUGAAGACAUUAAAGGAUACCAGAAAGAAGACUUUUACCCUCCUCUCCUGUUUUGGACCUUAAUUAGUGUCUCUGGGUAUAUCUGUGUGGUGUCUGGAAACAGGGACGAAGUCACUGCCCAUGCAGAGUACUCUGGACACAAGAAGGAUCAGAGCAGAGCUUGGGCUCUACAGCUGGAUCAUGUCCCUGAUAUUUUUCUCUCAUGCUAUGGCACAGCACUGUGCCAUGUGUGUUUUGGGUCAGGGCUGCCCAUAAGCUGAUGGAUCAGAAUGACAGCGUCAUCAAGGUUGGAAAAGACAUAGAAGGCAUUGAGUCUGACCACUAAUCAGACACUGCCAGGUCCACCACUAUCCAUGUCCCUAAGCACCACAUCUGCAUGCUCCUGGAGGCAUUGAUAAUCUGGUGAUAAGGAGGGUGCAUCUGUGGUGGCUUCAGACCUGCAAUUUGUGUUGACAAGAUGGUCUCAUGGGAAUGCACAAAGAUACAUGGGCAGAGCGUGGUCAGCUGAGGAUGUGACUCAGAAGACAGUCCAUAAAUCACCUUUUUGUGUUUAGGGCAUGCAGUCCUGCUCCUGAGCUGCAAACCUUUCACUCUCAUGGGUCAGACCUUGUUGCCCUGUUGGAGGGUGCUGUAGCUGGAAUCAAAUAUCUGGCUGGAAAGGUCUCACAUGCAUGGGGCUUGUUCCUGGGCAAAUGAGCUCUGAGGAGCUAUGAAGUUCUCCUGAGAUCAGCAGGUAGGGGUUCAAAUCUCAUUUUUGGAUUUGCAUUAAAAUCUGUCUCUAUGAAGCACUUAGGUGUCGUGGAAAGUUUGAGGUGAUCAGUGAAAAGUGCUCAAAGUGAAUCAUGUUAAUUUUCAGGAAGCAGCAAUUAAACCCCAGAUAUUCUUUUGCCAGAAGUGAAGGAAACUUCUACUAUUUUUAGGUGGUGGUUGUGUGAGGAAGAGGGGGGACUGGCAGGACUUGCCUUCACCCACUUGUCAUUGCUUUUCAUAACAGGAAUGAGCUGAUCAUAGCCUCAGGCACAUAACACCCUUGUGUACUGGAGAAUCAGGUCUCUGCCUGUGGAGGGGAAACAAAGGUACAGCUGGA